rfam:Kazachstania naganishii CBS 8797 chromosome 2, complete genome
CUCCCGGUAGCCAAGUUGGUUUACGGCGCAAGACUGUAAUGUUAGCGUAAGCUACAAAGUAAUCUUGAGAUCGGGCGUUCGAAUCGCCCCCGGGAGA